AUUGAACGCUGGCGGAAUGCUUUACACAUGCAAGUCGAACGGCAGCACGGACUUCGGUCUGGUGGCGAGUGGCGAACGGGUGAGUAAUACAUCGGAACGUGCCCAGUCGUGGGGGAUAACGUAGCGAAAGCUACACUAAUACCGCAUACGAUCUACGGAUGAAAGCGGGGGAUCGCAAGACCUCGCGCGAUUGGAGCGGCCGAGGGGAGAUUAGGUAGUUGGUGGGGUAAAGGCUCACCAAGCCGACGAUCUGUAGCUGGUCUGAGAGGACGACCAGCCACACUGGGACUGAGACACGGCCCAGACUCCUACGGGAGGCAGCAGUGGGGAAUUUUGGACAAUGGGCGCAAGCCUGAUCCAGCCAUUCCGCGUGCAGGAUGAAGGCCCUCGGGUUGUAAACUGCUUUUGUACGGAACGAAAAGGCUCUGGUUAAUACCCUGGGCUCAUGACGGUACCGUAAGAAUAAGCACCGGCUAACUACGUGCCAGCCGCCGCGGUAA
rnacentral:rRNA from 1 species